rnacentral:lncRNA from 10 species
GGAGCACGGGGUGAUCUGGGCACUAACGCUGAUGGGGAGCAGCGGACAUCAGCCUCGACCUCCCACGAGCGGUGCACGAGCGCCUGACCCAGACCUCGACCCUAGCCUUCACCCCCACCCUGACUCCAGUUCAUGAACUGGUCAAAGGAAGAGCCAUGCCAGCAAACGUCUACACUGUACAUGCUUUUUAUUACAAGACUACGGAGCAUAGGAGGAAAAUUCAUCAUCUGUCUGGGGACGACGGUUUAAAAAUUUAUGCCUUGCAUGCGAUGUGCAGUGGGUGAUGGAAGAACGUCUACAUGGCUUUAAAAUUGGAUUUAAAAGGCAAAUAUUUUAAAUGAAGGAAAACCCAAGAAGUUUACUUGAUUCCUUAUCUUCCAGGAUGCGACUUUUGUUUAUUUAUUUAUUUUAUUUUGAUGGAGUCUCGCUGCCGUCGCGCAGGCUGGAGUGCAGUGACGCGAUCUUGACCCGGGAACCUCCACCUCCCGGGUUCAAGCGAUUCUCCUUCCUCAACCACCCGAGUAGCUGGGAUUACAGGCGUGUGCCACCAUGCCCGGCUAAUUUUUGUGUUUUUAGUAGAGACCGGGGAAGGUAUGGGCCCUCUUUUGAGAAAAAUGCAGAGUGACACUGAAUUUUGUAACUACAUCAGGAGGCUCUUGAACCUUCUGCAGCUCACUCGUGGAGUUUGUAGAGAUGCGUAAUAAUCCGAAGUGUUAAGGAAGAAGGUUCUGUUGAGAAAAAGUUGGAGGGCUGAAAGGGAUGCCUUUCGCUAUUUCGACAUGUGUGGCUGUACCCCAGAGUGCCCUGGCUAACACGCAAAACCAUGAAUUAGGCGGCUUGGCGAGGCUCAGUGGAGGCUGGGGCCGAGAGUCAUGUCAAAGUUUGUGGGGUUAACCUGCACCCAGUGACAGUCAUGGCGAAGUUUGUGAGGUUAACUCGCACCCAGUAACGCUGUUCCAAUGCAAGGUGUGUAUUUGGUGUCAUCCACGGGAAGAGGAAACAGCAAAUUUUCUCAUGGCCUUGGCAGUUCCACAUGAUGGACAUUUCAUAUCUGCAGUUUUCUUCGCAUGAGAUGGCUUUUUUGCACAAAAACACUGGAAUCCAGUGAGCAAGAAUGAUAGAAUGCAAGAUGGAUUUCCACAUGAGGAAGUGUCACGAACAAGCGUUUUGCAUCUCUGUCAGCUGGAUUCCCCCAUGUGUACGUAUGUGAGAACAUGCCGUGUUUCCUGUCUGUAAUGGUAGAGGCAGCCCUGAUACUGGAUUUUCACCUGAGGAUGGAUAGAUCUUCAGGGUUCAAGUGGGUUUGCAUCUGGACUUUAGGGUGGCCCUGUAGGCCCUGUGUGAGAAGCCCCCUUCCCAGUGAACUUUCCCUUGUGUGCCCGCGUGGACAGCCAACAGGGGGAGCAGUGCGAGCGUGAAGGCAGACAGUGGCCUGGCCCAGUCUGAUGGUAAGUGGGCCAGAGGCAGUGAGUACCAUUUCUUGAUCUGACUACUCAAGACAGGCGCUUCCCUAGGUACUUUCACACCUCAUUGCGAGGUACGUGUUGUUCCCAUUUUACAGGUGCAGAAGCUGAGCUGCAGAGGCGUUAGGUACCUGCCUCAUAAGUGGUAGAGACUCCAGUGUCACCCUGCCCCUCACGUUCGGAGCCCCCGAGGGAGGGUCUGCCGGGCAGCUCAGCCCAGCACUCUGUAAGGAAAUCUUCAGUGCCACUGCCCAGGAUGUCUUCCCGGGGAUUGGGCCUGAAUGUCUUGACCAUGCCGUGCUGGAGGUAGGAGGGGUGUCUUCAUAUGGAAGAACUGUACAUAUUUCUUUGGCAGAUGGCUGAACUCUGUGACCCCGGGGCCUGUUUCAGCCUCCUGCUGUCAGAAAGCAGCUGUUUGGGAAGAGGCUGUGAUUCGGCCUUGUUUGAGGGCCGAUACUCUGAAUGGGUGAGGCUUGGAAUCCUCCCUUUGGAACAAAGAAACAUAAUGAUUUUGCUGAAGGUAGAAUUGGGGGACUAGGCAGAGUGGCCUCCUGCCCUCCCUGGGGUGGUUCUGUCUUUUGCAAAGGUGGCUGCAUCCUUAGGGGAAGGUGAGGGGAGAAGCAGGGAGCAUGGAGAGAAGUGGCUUUCGAUUUUCUCUCUCCUUUUGGGGAGUUCCUCCUUAUGUGGCUGGUCUGGUGCAUAGUGUGAUGUAUUCCUGUACGCAACGUUGCCCUGACAGCCAGUCCAAGCUGAGUCUAGAGCUGGCAAGGUGAGCUCCCAGUAGUAAGAGGGUGUGGGCGGCAAGCCACCCAGGCACCGAGGCAAGAGACAGAGGACACGAGCUGUUCCAGUAUAAUAAAAUAUAAAACAAGAAUAGUUAUACCAGAUAUAGAUCUUAGAUAUGAUUAUAUAUGAAUAUCAUUAAUCAUGAGUUUGCAGCAAUUACUUUUUAUUCCAAUAUUAUGAUAAUCCUCGCUCUAUAAUCAUAGCCUAGGAAAAACCAGGCCAUACAGAGGAGCUGAGGGGACAUAGUGAGGUGUGACCAGAAGACAAGAGUGCGAGGCUUCUGUUAUGCCCGGACAGGGCCACAAGAGGGCUCCUUGGUCUAGCGGUGACGCCAGCGUCUGGGAAGACGCCCGUUACCCGGCGGAUCGUGGCCCAGUGGUAGCAAAAGGUGUCAAGGAACAACACUCACUACUUAGCAGACCG